GUGAGGAAUAUUGGUCAAUGGACGAGAGUCUGAACCAGCCAAAUCGCGUGAAGGAAGACUGCCCUACGGGUUGUAAACUUCUUUUGUACAGGAAUAAAAGACAUUACGUGUAAUGUAUUGCAUGUACUGUACGAAUAAGCAUCGGCUAACUCCGUGCCAGCAGCCGCGGUAAUACGGAGGAUGCGAGCGUUAUCCGGAUUUAUUGGGUUUAAAGGGUGCGCAGGCGGGAUUUUAAGUCAGCGGUGAAAUUUUCAGGCUCAACCUGAACACUGCCGUUGAAACUGGGAUUCUUGAGUAUGGAUGAAGUAGGCGGAAUUCGUUGUGUAGCGGUGACAUGCUUAGAUAUAACGAGGAACUCCGAUUGCGUAGGCAGCUUACUAAGCCAUAACUGACGCUCAAGCACGAAAGCGUGGGGAUCAAACAGGAUUAGAUACCCUGGUAGUCC
rnacentral:rRNA from 1 species